rnacentral:rRNA from 1 species
CCUACGGGGGGCAGCAGUGAGGAAUAUUGGUCUAUGGACGAGAGUCUGAACCAGCCAAGUAGCGUGAAGGAUGACUGCCCUAUGGGUUGUAAACUUCUUUUAUAUGGGAAUAAAACGUUCCACGUGUGGGAUUUUGUAUGUACCAUAUGAAUAAGGAUCGGCUAACUCCGUGCCAGCAGCCGCGGUAAUACGGAGGAUCCGAGCGUUAUCCGGAUUUAUUGGGUUUAAAGGGAGCGUAGGUGGAUUGUUAAGUCAGUUGUGAAAGUUUGCGGCUCAACCGUAAAAUUGCAGUUGAAACUGGCAGUCUUGAGUACAGUAGAGGUGGGCGGAAUUCGUGGUGUAGCGGUGAAAUGCUUAGAUAUCACGAAGAACUCCGAUUGCGAAGGCAGUUCACUGGACUGCAACUGACACUGAGGCUCGAAAGUGUGGGUAUCAAACAGGAUUAGAUACCCCAGUAGUC